GGGGAAGCAUGCGGAGCAGCUGCUACAGUCAUCAACCAGCGUCGGGGAGGGAUAAGUUGGUUGUGUGGUGCGUCGGAUAUAUUCUGGAAUUGGCUAGGUGCUUGUACGGACGCAGAAUCGAAUCGAUGGCGAGCUAAGACGCUGGCUUGGAGCCGAGCAGUCCCAGUUAAGAGCUCUCCUGGUCUGGUAGGAGGCUCUGGCAGCCUUGUUCCCCCCUCACCUUCUCUUACACCCACACACACACACGCACUCGCACUUUGAGGCUUCUAGCCCAUGGACAGUUGACAUAUUGGACUCUACCUUUGCGGCGCACAUGCUGGACUGUUUUGAGCGCCUCAUCCUCUAUGAAUUUUGUGCCUUUACAAUACGCAACAUCGUGUGUGGAACGGCUGCCAUAUUGGCUACAACUGAGACUGGUUUUGAUUUGAAUGUUGUUGAUGCAUCAGACGUGUCAAGUGCACUUUUCUAUUUAAUUCAUGUACUCUGCAGACUGUAAAUAUUGGGGUCACUGUAUGUAUUGUCACGCAUUAAUAUAUGGUACCAACCGCAUCUGAAGUGCUGUUUGUUGUGUUUUAUUGUACCACUACCUCUAAGAAUCGAACCUGUCUUCUGUAGACCUAGGCCCAAAAGCUAGCUUAAUACUAAUAUAAUAAUCAUAC